UACGUAGGGGGCAAGCGUUGUCCGGAAUCAUUGGGCGUAAAGAGCGCGUAGGCGGUCCGGUAAGUCCGCUCUGAAAGUCCGGGGCUCAACCCCGGGAGGCGGGCGGAUACUGUCGGGCUAGAGUCCGGAAGAGGCGAGCGGAAUUCCUGGUGUAGCGGUGGAAUGCGUAGAUAUCAGGAAGAACACCGGUGGCGAAGGCGGCUCGCUGGGCCAGUUCUGACACUCAUCCGCGAAAGCGUGGGGAGCAAACAGG
rnacentral:rRNA from 1 species